AGUUCGAUCAUGGCUCAGAUUGAACGCUGGCGGGAUGCUUUACACAUGCGUCGAACGGCAGCACGGACUUCGGUCUGGUGGCGAGUGGCGAAUGGGCGAGUAAUGUAUCGGAACGUGCCUAGUAGCGGGGGAUAACUACGCGAAAGCGUAGCUAAUACCGCAUACGCCCCCUUCGGGGGAAAGCGGGGACCUCAGCCUCGCACUAUUAGAGCGGCUGGGAUAUCGAUUAGCUAGUUGGUGGGGUAACGGCUCACCGGGGCGACGAUCCAGGUAGCUGGUUUGAGAGGACGAGACCAGCCACACUGGGACUGAGACACGGCCCAGACUCCUACGGGAGGCAGCAGUGGGGAAUUUUGGACAAUGGGGAAAUCCUGAUCCAGCCAUCCUGCGUGCGAUGGGGCUUCGGUUGUAAAGCACUUUUGGCAGGAAAGAAACGGCACGGAUAAUAAUCUGCAACUGACGGUACUCUGCAGAAGCACCGGCUAACUACGUGCCAGCAGCCGCGGUAAGAUACGUAGGGUGCAAGCGUUAAUCGGAAUUACAUUGGGCGGAAGCGUGCGUGGCAGGCGGUUCGGAAAGAAAGAUGUGAAAUCCCAGAGCUUAACUUUGGAACUGCAUUUAACUACCGAGCUAGAGUGUGUCAGAGGGAGGUGGAAUUCGCGUGUAGCAGAGGAAAUGCGUAGAUAUGCGAGUACCACCGAUGGCGAAGGCAGCCUCCUUGGGAUAACACUGACGCUCAUGCACGAAAGCGUGUGGGGAGCAACAGGAUUAGAUACCCUGGUAGUCCACAUCACGCCCCAAACGAUGUCAACUAGCCGUUAGCCCGCCUUGUAGCGCAGCUAACGAUGUGAAGUUGACCGCCCGGGGAGUACGGUCGCAAGAUUAAACCGUUAGAAUUGACGGGAUCGCACGUUGGUGGAUGAUGUGGAUUAAUUCGAUGCAACGCGAAAAACUCCACUACCCUUGACAUGUCUGGAAUCCCGAAGAGAUUUGAGUGCUCGCAAGAGAACCGGAACACAGGUGCUGUAUGUAUUGCCGCCGGGGCUCGUGCCGAGAUGUUGGGUUAAGUCCCGCAACGAGCGCAACCCUUGUCAUUAGUUGCUACGAAAGGGCACUCCAUCGAGACUGCCGGUGACAAACCGGAGGAAGGUGGGGAUGACGUCAAGUCUCAUGGCCCUUAUGGGUAGGGGCUUCACACGUCACAACGGUCGGGACAGAGGUCGCCAACCCGCGAGGGGAGCCAAUCCGGUGAAACCCGAUCGUAGUCCGGAUCGCAGUCUGCAACUCGACUGCGUGAAGUCGGAACGCUAGUAAUCGCGGAUCAGCAUGCGUCGCGGUGAAUACGUUCCCGGGUCUUGUACACACCGCCCGUCACACCAUGGGAGUGGUUUACCAGAAGUAGUUAGCCUAACCGUAAGGAGGGCGAUUACCACGGUAGGAUUCAUGACUGGGGUGAAGUCGUAACAAGGUAA
rnacentral:rRNA from 1 species